rnacentral:rRNA from 1 species
GAUGAACGCUGGCGGCGUGCCUAAUACAUGCAAGUCGAGCGAACGGACGAGAAGCUUGCUUCUCUGAUGUUAGCGGCGGACGGGUAAGUAACACGUGGAUAACCUACCUAUAAGACUGGGAUAACUUCGGGAAACCGUAGCUAAGACCGGAUAAUAUUUUGAACCGCAUGGUUCAAAAGUGAAAGACGGUCUGGCUGUCACUUAUAGAUGGAUCCGCGCUGCAUUAGCUAGUUGGUAAGGUAACGGCUUACCAAGGCAACGAUGCCUAGCCGACCUGAGAGGGUGAUCGGCCACACUGGAACUGAGACACGGUCCAGACUCCUACGGGAGGCAGCAGUAGGGAAGCUUCCGAAAUGGGCGAAAGCCUGACGGAGCAACGCCGCGUGAGUGAUGAAGGUCUUCGGAUCGUAAAACUCUGUUAUUAGGGAAGAACAUAUGUGUAAGUAACUGUGCACAUCUUGACGGUACCUAAUCAGAAAGCCACGGCUAACUACGUG